ACCCGAGCCAACAGAGUCAGCCUACUCUGAUUCUCUAUCGGUGGUGUGGAAGCUUUGUUUUUUGCUCUUCACAGUAAGUCUUAGUUGUUGCUCGUUCUGUGGAUCCUUGCUGCGUUUAUAAGCUGUAACGCUCACUGCUAAGGUUUGCAGGUUCAGUCCUAAACCCAGUGAGACCAGGGACCCACCAGAAGAAACUAGCAACUCCAGACGCCACGCCUUUAAGAGCUGUAACACUCACCGCGAACGUCUGCAGCUUCAGUCCUGAAGCCAGCGAGACCACGAACUCACCAGAAGAAAUAAACUCCGGACACAUUUGAACAUCUGAAGGAACAAGCUCUGAACACACCAUCUUUUAAGGACUGUAACACUCACCGCGAGGGUCCAAGGGUCCCGCAGCUUCAUUUUUGAAGUCAGCGAGACCAAGAACCCACAAAUUCCGGACACAACAUCAUUUCCUGUGGGAUCUAUUCUGGAAUCACAGCAUGACUAUGAGAUCUCAGAUAUCCAGCUGUCACAGAGGAAGUGGGAAUUUUAAACCAUGAAUGUGAAGUCAUCUUUUCAAUGUGAAGGUUUGCUACUGUUAAAUAAGAAACACCAUUUUGUUUUCAGAUGAAAACUAAUGGGUCGAGGCACCAGCCUGCUGUCGGCUGGCACGACCACUCCUGUGGCCUGGGCUUCAGAUUCUCUCUGUAGCUGCAGGCAUUAAAUUAUGAUGAAGGCCACACAAAAAUGAUUAAGGUCAAAGUCGAGAAUCAAGUGUCAGCCUAUGUUAUGGACAUAACAUUUAUGUACCAUUGGGUCAUGAGGGUGGAGUGCUCAUGAAUGGAAUUAGUGACCUUAUGAAGGAGAGACUAGAGAGCUCUCUCAUCCCUUCUGCUGUGUGAGGACCUGGUG
rnacentral:lncRNA from 1 species